UACGUAGGGGGGCUAGCGUUGUCCGGAAUCAUUGGGCGUAAAGAGCGUGUAGGCGGCCCGGUAAGUCCGCUGUGAAAGUCGGGGGGCUCAACCCUCGAAUGCCGGUGGAUACUGUCGGGCUAGAGUGCGGAAGAGGCGAGUGGAAUUCCUGGUGUAGCGGUGAAAUGCGCAGAUAUCAGGAGGAACACCGAUUGCGAAGGCAGCUCGCUGGGACGUUACUGACGCUGAGACGCGAAAGCGUGGGGAGCAAACAGG
rnacentral:rRNA from 1 species